GCGAUAAGCGUCGGUAAGGUGAUAUGAACCGUUAUAACCGGCGAUUUCCGAAUGGGGAAACCCAGUGUGUUUCGACACACUAUCAUUAACUGAAUCCAUAGGUUAAUGAGGCGAACCGGGGGAACUGAAACAUCUAAGUACCCCGAGGAAAAGAAAUCAACCGAGAUUCCCCCAGUAGCGGCGAGCGAACGGGGAGCAGCCCAGAGCCUGAAUCAGUGUGUGUGUUAGUGGAAGCGUCUGGAAAGGCGCGCGAUACAGGGUGACAGCCCCGUACACAAAAAUGCACAUGCUGUGAGCUCGAUGAGUAGGGCGGGACACGUGGUAUCCUGUCUGAAUAUGGGGGGACCAUCCUCCAAGGCUAAAUACUCCUGACUGACCGAUAGUGAACCAGUACCGUGAGGGAAAGGCGAAAAGAACCCCGGCGAGGGGAGUGAAAAAGAACCUGAAACCGUGUACGUACAAGCAGUGGGAGCACAGAGCAAUCUGUGUGACUGCGUACCUUUUGUAUAAUGGGUCAGCGACUUAUAUUCUGUAGCAAGGUUAACCGAAUAGGGGAGCCGAAGGGAAACCGAGUCUUAACUGGGCGUUAAGUUGCAGGGUAUAGACCCGAAACCCGGUGAUCUAGCCAUGGGCAGGUUGAAGGUUGGGUAACACUAACUGGAGGACCGAACCGACUAAUGUUGAAAAAUUAGCGGAUGACUUGUGGCUGGGGGUGAAAGGCCAAUCAAACCGGGAGAUAGCUGGUUCUCCCCGAAAGCUAUUUAGGUAGCGCCUCGUGAAUUCAUCUCCGGGGGUAGAGCACUGUUUCGGCAAGGGGGUCAUCCCGACUUACCAACCCGAUGCAAACUGCGAAUACCGGAGAAUGUUAUCACGGGAGACACACGGCGGGUGCUAACGUCCGUCGUGAAGAGGGAAACAACCCAGACCGCCAGCUAAGGUCCCAAAGUCAUGGUUAAGUGGGAAACGAUGUGGGAAGGCCCAGACAGCCAGGAUGUUGGCUUAGAAGCAGCCAUCAUUUAAAGAAAGCGUAAUAGCUCACUGGUCGAGUCGGCCUGCGCGGAAGAUGUAACGGGGCUAAACCAUG
rnacentral:rRNA from 1 species